AUGAGCAAACUUCUUAUAGUGUUUAGAGUUGAAGACCAUGUAUAUACAAGAAGCGAGAGGAGAGACCUGCUACUAAGGCCAGUGGGAAAGCGAAAGAACUUGCCUAUGUCCCCAGGAUCAAAAUAAACGAAGCUGCUCACCUCUGUGAGGAUGGUGAAUCAGGGAACUUCCCGAAGAAAGCGAUAUUGAAUGGCAUUGAUAAGAAAAAAGACACCAUGCAUUAUGGAAGAAGCAAUCUUCCCUGACAUCCCUCCCUGGAAGGCAACAUGAUUAAGAGAAUGCAAAGCAAGGGGGCAGAGAAUGCU
rnacentral:lncRNA from 1 species